UACGUAGGGUGCAGGCGUUAAUCGGAAUUACUGGGCGUAAAGCGUGCGCAGGCGGUUUCUUAAGUCAGAUAUGAAAGCCCCGGGCUUAACCUGGGAACUGCGUCUGAUACUGGAUGGCUUGAGUUUGGGAGAGGGACGCGGAAUUCCAGGUGUAGCGGUGAAAUGCGUAGAUAUCUGGAGGAACACCGGUGGCGAAGGCGGCGUCCUGGACCAACACUGACACUGAUGAGCGAAAGCCAGGGGAGCAAACGGG
rnacentral:rRNA from 1 species